rnacentral:tRNA from 1 species
GCCUUAGUAGCUCAGUGGUAGAGCGUUUGCCUAGUAAUGAACUUGGCAGCAAAAGGUCCAGUGUUCGACUCACUGUUGAGGCA